GAUGAACGCUGGCGGCGUGCCUAAUACAUGCAAGUCGAGCGAACAGAUAAGGAGCUUGCUCCUUUGACGUUAGCGGCGGACGGGUGAGUAACACGUGGGUAACCUACCUAUAAGACUGGGAUAACUUCGGGAAACCGGAGCUAAUACCGGAUAACAUUUGGCACCGCAUGGUUCUAAAGUGAAAGAUGGUUUUGCUAUCUCUUAUAGAUGGACCCGCGCCGUAUUAGCUAGUUGGUAAGGUAACGGCUUACCAAGGCAACGAUACGUAGCCGACCUGAGAGGGGGAUCGGCCACACUGGAACGGAGACGCGGUCCAGACGCCUACGGGAGGCACCAGUAGGGAAUCUGCCGCAAUGGGCGAAAGCCUGACGGAGCAACGCCGCGUGAGUGAUGAAGGGUUUCGGCUCGCAAAAAUCGGUUAUUAGGGAAAAACAAAUGUGUAAGUAACUGAGCACGUCUUGACGGUACCGAAUCAGAAAGCCACGGCUAACUACGUG
rnacentral:rRNA from 1 species